UACGUAGGGUGCAAGCGUUGUCCGGAAUUAUUGGGCGUAAAGAGCUCGUAGGCGGUUCGUCGCGUCGGCUGUGAAAACCUGAGGCUCAACCUCAGGCCUGCAGUCGAUACGGGCGGACUUGAGUACUGCAGGGGAGACUGGAAUUCCUGGUGUAGCGGUGAAAUGCGCAGAUAUCAGGAGGAACACCAGUGGCGAAGGCGGUUCUCUGGGCAUUACCUGACGCUGAGGAGCGAAAGUGUGAGGAGCGAACAGG
rnacentral:rRNA from 1 species